rnacentral:rRNA from 1 species
CCUACGGGUGGCUGCAGUGGGGAAUAUUGCACAAUGGGGGAAACUCUGAUGCAGCGACGCCGCGUGAGCGAUGAAGUCUCUCGGUAUGUAAAGCUCCUUUAGCAGGGAAGAAAAUGACGGUACCUGACUAAGAAGCCCCGGCUAACUACGUGCCAGCAGCCGUGGUAAUACGGAGGGGGCAAGCGUUAUCCGGAUUUACUGGGUGUAAAGGGAGCGUAGACGGUCCUGCAAGUCAGAUGUGAAAGGCCCGGGCUUAACCCCGGGACUGCAUUUGAAACUGUAGGGCUAGAGUGUAGGAGAGGCAGGUGGAAUGCAUGGUGUAGCGGUGAAAUGCGUAGAUAUUAGGAGGAACACCAAUGGCGAAGGCAGCCUGCUGGACGAUGACUGACGUUGAGGCACGAAAGCGUGGGGAGCAAACAGGAUUAGAUACCCCAGUAGUC